rnacentral:siRNA from 1 species
UGCUUCAAUGCAUGUGGCUGUCA